UCCACCAAGGACCACUAACCUGUGAUAACCCUCAGCCUCAUCAAACAAGCACACGAAGUGAGUGAAGUAAAGCCUACCAUGCACAAUGAUAAAUAAGUGAUUUUUUUUUUUGUUUUUUAAUUUUCACCCUAGCUUCUAGUUGACCAAAGCCUUGCUAGUAAAAUUAAGGGAACUGCAAGAAUCCAUCAGAUGGGUCAUUUCUGUUCUUAUGUGGUAGAAUUGCACAGAUUAAAACUACUAUUUAGCUUCAGUGGAGUCUGUUUCAUUAUGAGUAUUUGAACCAGGCCUCCUGUCUGCAUAUUACUUCCUCGGUCUCAGUAAUGCCUGAUAAGAGUCACCAGAACAGUCUUUAUCUUCUAAGACAUUAAAUCAACAAUAAGGAAAAAAAAUUGAACAAAUAAGACAAUGGAGUAUGAUUUGAGGAAGAUUUGGUUGCUAUUUCUAACAGAUUGGGUUUCUAGCCACAGGCUUCCUCAUUAGUUUUGAUGAUAUUAAGAAUAGAAAAGUGAAAUUACAUGCAUGCACAUGCACGCACACACGCACACACAAACACACACAUGCUGAUAGUCGUUUAGAAUUAUCAUUACAGCUAACUUAACAAUUAAGUUGUUAACGAGCCAGCAAGGGACCAACUACAUAGUUACAUAGAAAAUCGACAUGCUAGAAAUAACAGCCAAAUCUUUAACAACAUCACAUCCAAGCAGUCAGUCGUUUAGAAUUAUCAUAACAGCUAACUUAACAAUUAAGUUGUUAACGAGCCAGCAAGGGACCAACUACAUAGUUACAUAGAAAAUCGACAUGCUAGAAAUAACAGCCAAAUCUUUAACAACAUCACAUCCAAGCAGUCAUCUUAAAUGACACUAUCCAUGGAACCCUUUACAUUGUCACUCAACAGGCUAGAAAGAGCAGCCAAAUUUUGCAUGGAUCAUAUGCUACCAUAUUGAGAAAAGGAAGGACACUUUGGACAAUAUAGUCAUGACUGGAAAGCCUCUCCUCAUCGGACUACAGCAGAAACAUUGAUAUUUCACAUCAGCAAAAUCUUUCAUGAAGGGAAGGGAAGAAAAUGUACAAUACAGUAGUAAACAGGAGAAAGAAAAAUGAACAGAAAGAGCGACUGAAGUGGAAGAGAAAUAAAGCAAGCCAGAUAAGAAGUAGGCUACAUGAGACGUGAACCAUAAUCAAAUGGGCUGGACUGCUAAAAAUUUUCAAGAUUCCAGAGAAAUUUACCCAGAAGAUAUGAAGAUGUAAGAACCAAUACAAAAUGAGCUAUCACCUACAGAAACAUAACAGGGAUGAAAUAUCCACUCAAAAAUAUUAACUAAAUAUUAGAUAAAAAAUAUGAAUGUAAUAAAAAUUAAAAUAUUAAAAUUCCAAUUCCUUUUGAAAAAUCCUCCUUUCAUUAAGAAAAUAAUUAAUCAGGUGUCAGAAGUAUAUGUUACAGGAUAAAUGAUUUUUCUCCAAUAAGAGUAAAAUUUGACUAUGCAUUGUUAUGUAUCAGUAAUCUGACAGGGUGGACUAAAUUAGUAACUCAUCACUUGUUUUUUAAUCACAACUCAGACUUGAUUGAGCAGACCUAUAGUCAAAGAUUUUCUGACCUUGAGCAUUCCAUCUUUUGUUUUAAAACAUAGUCUAUUGAAGACCACAUUAUCUAAUAAGACUUUUCUUUUCUUUUUUUUUUUAUGUUAGGGUACAUGUUGAAGAAAAUUUGGCUGCUAUUUCUAGUGAGUUGAGUGACCACAGAGAGAUUGCCCUUCAUUGGCUUGUAAAUUUUGUGCUGAUAUUUGGUACAAUUGUCUCAUUAAGGAUCCCUUUCUUUAUAUGACUUACAGGAGAAAGGGUAGCACCUGUGAUCUUUUGAAGGACCUCAAAGACUUGGUUGGAGGGAAAAAGUAAAGUUAUCCUUAGACCAGAGACUCUGCCUGAAUAUUUACAACAAAGUGGAUAUCAUUAAAGGCAUCAAGGGUCAGGUGAUGUUAAACCAGGCUGUGGAUUAAUUCAUUUGUGCAUUCCCUAAUUCACAUAAUUGUAGAGAAUCAAUAGAGUAUCUGGUAAUCUUAUCUGCAAUACAUAGUGUUCUAUACAUAGAUUUCUUUCAUUCACAAACAGCACUGAAAGGAAAGUUGAACACCAGCUUUAUGAGCUUGUGAAAACAUCAUUUAUCAUGCAAGUUCACAUAUAUAUAAUCAAUAAUAAUUAUAUUCUCUCAUGUUGAGUCAGGUCUAAGAAAUCUUAUUUUCUUUUCAUGCUCAGAGUCUCAGAACAAUAGCAGUAAUAUAGCACAUAACAAUGAAGCCAUUUCUUUACUUACCAAUCUGAAUCUAACAAUUUUUGGUAGCAAUGAAGAAUUUGAAAUGUUUCUAAACGUGUUGCUCAGCAAAGAAGACUUCAGUUGAGAUUGAAAUACAAAAGCUUGAUGGAUUAUCUUGAAACCUGAUAAGACAAGAAAACUAAUGUAGACAGAAUUUUGAUAGAAAUAAAGAAGGGAAAUUACAUGCUUUCUAUUAUAGUUUAUAUAAAUCUUAUGAAAAUAAUUUUUCAAUGCUAACUAUUCAUUCCAGAAUAUUCUAACUCUAUGUGAAAAUAUCAUUGCUACUUCAAUACUGGUAAACAACAAGGUAAAGCAUUUCAUGUGUAAAUUACAGACUGAAAAUUGGGAAAUAGGUAUAUAUCAUAUACCAGACAUUCUAUGCCCAUUUCAAUUAUCCUUCUCUUGUUGAAAAUCAAUAAACAAUAUAGUUUAAACGUUCUAAAGAACUGCAAAAUAUAAAAAAGGGUAAAAAGAGAAAUGGAAAAAUUCUAAUGGACUAAUGAAUUAGUCUUUAAUCUAAAUUGUAGUUCUGGUCAACAAAUUUUUUGCUUUGAAUAAAGUUUCCUGAAAACCAUUAAUAGUCAAGGAAACCAAGUUGUCUUUCCAAAACUACCAACUGCCUUUAUACGUAUAUGUAUUGACAAUUAACGGAAAUAGAUGUUCACUCAAUUGUAUAAACAUUACUGUGUAUUUCAAGAUGUUUUGAUAGACAGAAAAAAAAUUGAAAAAAAAGACAUCAAAUAAAAUGAAAAUACAAUCAGAAAAUAAAAAUGUGUGAAUAUUG